CCAGACUCCUACGGGAGGCAGCAGUGGGGAAUAUUGGACAAUGGGGGGAACCCUGAUCCGGCGACGCCGCGUGAGUGAAGAAGUAUUUCGGUAUGUAAAGCUCUAUCAGCAGGGAAGAAAAUGACGGUACCUGACUAAGAAGCCCCGGCUAACUACGUGCCAGCAGCCGCGGUAAUACGUAGGGGGCAAGCGUUAUCCGGAUUUACUGGGUGUAAAGGGAGCGUAGACGGCAUGGCAAGUCUGAUGUGAAAACCCGGGGCUCAACCCCGGGACUGCAUUGGAAACUGUCAGGCUAGAGUGUCGGAGAGGCAAGUGGAAUUCCUAGUGUGGCGGUGAAAUGCGUAGAUAUUAGGAGGAACACCAGUGGCGAAGGCGGCUUGCUGGACGAUGACUGACGUUGAGGCUCGAAAGCGUGGGGAGCAAACAGGAUUAGAUACCCUCGUAAC
rnacentral:rRNA from 1 species